rnacentral:rRNA from 2 species
UUGGGUUAAGUCCCGCAACGAGCGCAACCCUUGAUCUUAGUUGCCAUCAUUAAGUUGGGCACUCUAAGGUGACUGCCGGUGACAAACCGGAGGAAGGUGGGGAUGACGUCAAAUCAUCAUGCCCCUUAUGACCUGGGCUACACACGUGCUACAAUGGACGGUACAAAGAGCUGCAAGACCGCGAGGUGGAGCUAAUCUCAUAAAACCGUUCUCAGUUCGGAUUGUAGGCUGCAACUCGCCUACAUGAAGCUGGAAUCGCUAGUAAUCGCGGAUCAGCAUGCCGCGGUGAAUACGUUCCCGGGCCUUGUACACACCGCCCGUCACACCACGAGAGUUUGUAACACCCGUAUGUCGGUGGGGUAACCUUUAUGGAGCCAGCCG